rnacentral:lncRNA from 1 species
AGAUGCCAAUUCUGAUUCAUCUUCGGACUUCCCCUUUUGGGAUAGUCAUUUUUUCCCUACUUCCGCAUUGGGGGUUUGCUCGAGUUACUCACUGGACGGAUUCCACUCCGUUCUUCGUUGCAGAACUACGUUCCUCUCCCCUCUCCUUUCAGUCGAGUCACUUCGUACGUAGGGUACCGGGGGUAUCGUAGUGUACCGUAUGGUAGCACCUAGCUGUCUCUCAACCAUUUUUGACACCCAUCUGAUCAGUAAUCAUCGAAAACCUACAGGAUGAGAACGGCUUAGUUUCAUUUGAAACAUGGGAUUUCACACUGAUAAUAUCAAUGCAGCCUUUAC